CGGACGGGUGAGUAACGCGUGAGCAACCUGCCUAUGACAGUGGGAUAGCCUCGGGAAACCGGGAUUAAUACCGCAUAAAAUCGUAGAAACACAUGUUUCAACGGUCAAAGAUUUAUCGGUCAUAGAUGGGCUCGCGUCUGAUUAGCUAGUUGGUGAGAUAACAGCCCACCAAGGCGACGAUCAGUAGCCGGUCUGAGAGGAUGAACGGCCACAUUGGAACUGAGACACGGUCCAA
rnacentral:rRNA from 1 species